rnacentral:rRNA from 1 species
AUGGCCAUCGAGUUUGCCACGGGGGCGAUGCGCUCCCUCAUUCCCAAACUGGGGGAACUGCUCCUGGAUGAGUACAACCUGAAGGGAACUGUGAAGAAGGGGAUUAGGGACCUCAAGGCCGAGCUCGAGACCAUGCAAGCUGCUCUUGAGAAGGUCUCCAACGUGCCAUUGGACCAGCUUAAUUCACAAGUCAAGAUCUGGGCCAAUGAAGUCAGGGAGCUGUCCUAUGCCAUAGAGGACAGUCUUGACUCAUCCAUGGUGCGCAUAGAUGGUCUUCAGCCUACAAAACCACGCACGUUCAAGGGCUUCAUCAAGAAGACCCGCAACAAGGUCAGCAGGUUCAAGAUCCGCCAUAGAAUAGCUGAUGACAUCAAACACAUUAAGAUUCAAGUUAGGGAGGUCAAGGAACGGUUUGAAAGGUACAAGAUCAACGAUGUUAUGUCUAAUCUCGCCACAACGACAGUUGACCCUCGUCUCUUGGCUAUGUACAACAAGGUAUCUGACCUUGUUGGCAUUGACAAGGCGAUGGAUGAGCUAAUGAGGAUGUUGCCUGAGAAAAGUGAAUUGUUGAAGAAUCAACCACUCAAGACUGUCUCCGUUGUUGGAUUCGGAGGAUUAGGCAAGACAACUCUGGCUAGAGCAGUUUAUGACAAGCUUAGCAGUUCAUCCACUUGUAGGUGUUUUGUACCAGUGGGUCAAAACCCUGACACGAAGAAAGUUCUUAGGGACAUACUCCAUGAACUUGACAAGGAAAAGUACAUAAACAUCACUGCAUCAAAAAUGGAUGCAAGGCAGCUCAUCGACGAGGUGCGUGGAUUUCUUGGGAACAAGAGGUACUUUGUCGUUAUGGAUGACAUAUGGGAUAUACCAACGUGGGAAGUGAUAAAGUGUGCUUUACUGGACACUAAAUCUGAUAGUAGAGUAAUCACAACUACUCGUAAUAUUGAAGUUGGCAAGAGAAUUGGUGAAAUUUAUAACAUGAAACCGCUUUCCAAUGUUGACUCCAAAUCCUUAUUCUAUACAAGAACAUGUGGUGGUGAAGGAGUAAGUUCAGAUAACCAACCUGCUGAAGUAACAAGCAAGAUUUUAAAGAAAUGUGGUGGUGUGCCAUUAGCUAUCAUUACAAUGGCUAGCUUGCUUGUUGGUAAACGAAGUGAGGAUUGGUCUAAGGUUUACGAUGCCAUUGGCUUUGGGCAUGAAGACAACGAAGUUGUUCAUAACACAAGAAAGAUAUUGUCUUUUAGCUAUUAUGAUCUCCCUUCCGAUCUAAAGACAUGUUUAUUGUAUCUAAGUAUGUUUCGUGAGGAUAGCUUUAUUGAGAAAAUACCACUCAUAUGGAGGUGGGUCUCUGAAGGUUUUGUACCUGAUAGAGAAGGAAUGGGGUCAUUUGAGGUAGGAGAGAUCUAUUUCAAUGAGCUAGUAAACAAAAGCAUGAUCCGAUGGAUAGAAUUUGAUGACGUCGGAAAGUUCUAA